rnacentral:rRNA from 1 species
GAUGAACGCUGGCGGCGUGCCUAAUACAUGCAAGUCGAGCGAACGGACGAGAAGCUUGCUUCUCUGAUGUUAGCGGCGGACGGGUGAGUAACACGUGGAUAACCUACCUAUAAGACUGGGAUAACUUCGGGAAACCGGAGCUAAUACCGGAUAAUAUUUUGAACCGCAUGGUUCAAAAGUGAAAGACGGUCUUGCUGUCACUUAUAGAUGGAUCCGCGCUGCAUUAGCUAGUUGGUAAGGUAACGGCUUACCAAGGCAACGAUGCAUAGCCGACCUGAGAGGGUGAUCGGCCACACUGGAACUGAGACACGGUCCAGACUCCUACGGGAGGCAGCAGUAGGGAAUCUUCCGCAAUGGGCGAAAGCCUGACGGAGCAACGCCGCGUGAGUGAUGAAGGUCUUCGGAUCGUAAAACUCUGUUAUUAGGGAAGAACAUAUGUGUAAGUAACUGUGCACAUCUCGACGGUACCUAACCAGAAAGCCACGGCUAACUACGUG